GACGAACGCUGGCGGCGUGCUUAACACAUGCAAGUCGAACGGAAAGGCCCUGCUUGCCGGGUACUCGAGUGGCGAACGGGUGAGUAACACGUGGGUGAUCUGCCCUGCACUUCGGGAUAAGCCUGGGAAACUGGGUCUAAUACCGGAUAGGAGCCAUUUUUAGUGGGAUGGUUGGAAAGUUUUUUCGGUGUAGGAUGAGCUCGCGGCCUAUCAGCUUGUUGGUGGGGUAAUGGCCUACCAAGGCGGCGACGGGUAGCCGGCCUGAGAGGGUGGACGGCCACAUUGGGACUGAGAGACGGCCCAGACUCCUACGGGAGGCAGCAGUGGGGAAGAUUGCACAAUGGGCGCAAGCCUGAUGCAGCGACGCCGCGUGGGGGAUGACGGCCUUCGGGUUGUAAACGCCUUUCGCUAGGGACGAAGCUUUUUGUGACGGUACCUAGAGAAGAAGCACCGGCUAACUACGUG
rnacentral:rRNA from 1 species